AACGAACGCUGGCGGCAUGCCUAACACAUGCAAGUCGAACGAGACCUUCGGGUCUAGUGGCGCACGGGUGCGUAACGCGUGGGAACCUGCCCUUAGGUUCGGAAUAACUCCCCGAAAGGGGUGCUAAUACCGGAUAAUGUCUUCGGACCAAAGAUUUAUCGCCUUUGGAUGGGCCCGCGUUGGAUUAGCUAGUUGGUAGGGUAAAAGCCUACCAAGGCGACGAUCCAUAGCUGGUAUGAGAGGAUGAUCAGCCACACUGGGACUGAGACACGGCCCAGACUACUACGGGAGGCAGCAGUGGGGAAUAUUGGACAAUGGGCGAAAGCCUGAUCCAGCAAUGCCGCGUGAGUGAUGAAGGCCUUAGGGUUGUAAAGCUCUUUUACACGGGAUGAUAAUGACAGUACCGGGAGAAUAAGCUCCGGCUAACUCCGUG
rnacentral:rRNA from 1 species